rnacentral:rRNA from 1 species
AGAGUUUGAUCCUGGCUCAAAGCGAACGCUGGCGGCAUGCUUAACACAUGCAAGUCGCGCGGCCGGGCAACCGGCAGCGGCGGACGGGUGAGUAACGCGUAGGAACGUAUCCUGAGGUGGGGGACACCCCUGGGAAACUGGGGCUAAUACCGCCCAUCUGCUGCGGCAGAAAGCCGUAAGGCGCCUUGGGAGCGGCCUGCGUCCGAUUAGCUAGUUGGUGGGGUAACGGCCUACCAAGGCAUCGAUCGGUAGCUGGUCUGAGAGGACGACCAGCCACACUGGGACUGAGACGCGGCCCAGACGCCUACGGGAGGCAGCAGUGAGGAAUAUUGGUCAAUGGGGGCAACCCUGAACCAGCGACGCCGCGAGGGCGAUGAAAGUGUUCGGAGCGUAAAGCCCUUUUCCUGGUGACGAGUAAGGACGGUAACCAGGGAAUAAGUGUCUGCUAACUACGUGCCAGCAGCCGCGGUAAUAC